rnacentral:rRNA from 1 species
CAGCAGUGGGGAAUUUUCCGCAAUGGGCGCAAGCCUGACGGAGCAAGACCGCGUGGGGGAGGAAGGCUCUUGGGUUGUAAACCCCUUUUCUCAAGGAAGAACACAAUGACGGUACUUGAGGAAUAAGCCUCGGCUAACUCCGUGCCAGCA